GCCACACGACAUUGAAACACUGACUCCUGUACAAUCACCAAAGUUAAGCAACAUCGAGCUUGGUUAGUACCUAGAUGGGUGACCAUUUGUGAAUACCAGCUGUUGUA